rnacentral:ncRNA from 1 species
UAAACAGCGAUGAUAAAAACUACGAUUUAUAAAUUUCUUCAGAGAGCCGAUGGUUGGUGAGAAUCGGUGAAAGGUUAAGUCUUUCCACUUUUGGAGCUGUAUAUGAUAAAGCACAAUUUUAUUUGUGCCUAAAUAUAAAGGUUAGUAACCUCUAUAUUACUAAUGAAGUGGCUGAUUUAUAUUAUUUAUCAGCAAUUUGGGUGGCAACGCGGAUUAUUCCGUCCCAAUA